AUUGGGGACUCCCCUUUGAGGAUUGCUGCCUUUCUUAUAAUUUUAUUGUGGCAAUUUAGCGCUGUUUUUUUUCUCUUUUUCCAAUUUUGUAUGGAGUAUGUUUGUGUGAAUGUAGGGGUGUGUUUGUAUGUGGAGAUGGCAUUUAAAUGCAAGUAUGCAUUUAUGUGUAGUGUUGGUUUAUGAAUACACUGGCGUGUUUAUAUAUAAUUUUGUUGUUUAAAAAAAGAGGUGU